rnacentral:rRNA from 1 species
AAUAUUGGAAAAUGGGCGAAAGCCUGACCCAGCCAUGCCGCGAGUGUUAAUUAGGUCAUCGAAUUGUAAAGCACUUUACGUUGGAAGAAAGGGUCAUAGGUUAAUACCCUGCAAUUUUGACGAAACCAACAGAUUAAGCACUGGCUAACUUCGAACCAGCAACCGCGGUCAUACGAAGGGUGCAAGCGUUAAUCGGAAUUACUGGGCGUAAAGCGCGCGUAGGUGGUUCGUUAAGGUGGAAGUGAAAGCCCCGGGCUUAACCUGGGAAUUGCUUUCAAAACUGACGAGCUAGAGUACGGUAGAGGGUAGUGGAAUUUCCUGUGUAGCGGUGAAAUGCGUAGAUAUAGGAAGGAACAUCAGUGGCGAAGGCGACUACCUGGACUGAUACUGACACUGAGGUGCGAAAGCGUGGGGAGCAAACAGG